UAAAAGACACAGACUGGCAAAUUGGAUAAAGAGUCAAGAACCAUCAGUGUGCUGUAUUCAGGAAACCCAUCUCAUGUGCAGAGACACACAUAGGCUCAAAAUAAAAGGAUGGAGGAAGACCUACCAAGCAAAUGGAAAACAAAAAAAGGCAGGGGUUGCAAUCCUAGUCUCUGAUAAAACAGACUUUAAACCAAGAGACAAACUUAGGCACAUUAAAUUUUUUAAAGAGUUUAUUUGAGCAAACAGCGAUUCAUAAAUCCGCCAGUGCCAGAUCACUAGCAAUUCAGGGCUCCACAGAGGUGCUGUGAAGGGAAAAUUGUAUAAGAUGUUCUGGCAAGCAAGACAGAGAAAAUAUUUGAUUAAAGUGGAAAGUCCCUAGUUAGAGGUUUCUGGCAGUUUCUGAUUGGUUAACCCUGUUUUGCUGUCCUAGGCUGUGACCCUUCACUUUGAGUUGGGUUUCACUUUGCUGAUGUAGGUACUCAAGGUUCUGGAGCUGUCUCAGGCUAAUGGCCUCCCAAUUAAUUUUUGUAAAACAACUUUCAGCAAAAUUCUUCAGAGGGAGGAUGGGUUCAAAAAUGCCCCAAGAUUCAUCUUGGCUACACACAGAGUGGUAACCAGUAUUUACCUCCUUACUCAGGGAUCAUCUCACUUGUCAUUUUGCAAGAGAAGAGGAAGAAAGAAUAACCUGCUACUCUUCUAAACUCUACUUGGAAAAUUGCAGGAAUUUUAUCAGCCAUCCGUGAGCACAAGAAGAUAUAAGCAAAAGCCACACAGAGAGAAGACCUGUUCUAGACUCUUAUCAGCCAAACACAAUGCCCAAGAAACAGCUAGAAGGUUUCAUUUAACCAGAGAAGAGCUCCUGCUUUGAAAUGUUUUCAAAGUUUCCAUGACAAAAUAUUCUUUCACAGUCUCUGCUUCAGUGAGCUGCUUUGUAUUUCUAGCGCAGCUAAGCAAUUAAAAGAAGAUGAAUAGAUGUAUUCCGGCAUGUGUGAUAACAAAUGGCAUACUUAAGGUGACAAGGUUUUCUGUGUUAACUGGCUUUGCAGUCACUUGCAAGUUUUUGAAAAAUACUCCCUUUUAUCGGAAGUUUUUCCCUUCUUAAUCUCAGCUUAAAGGCUAUUUUUUCUCAAAGCAAAUUGGAGGAGGACUUUUGAAGUCAUCUUUGAUGGGACAAAAUAUAUGUACAUAUUCUCUCUGUGCAAAGGAAUUGCUGCUUUUCUUAUGACAGCUUAAAAUUGAUAAAGUUUUAAGCAUCAAGACAUUCACCAUUACAAAAGAUGCUCAUGUGUCUAUGAAUGAUGAGACUUCCACAGGAAACCAAGGUCUCAGGCUGAAGGACACAGCUUCUACAUGGUGCAUGCUGUUCUCCUGGUGGCUGAAGGAGCAAGUGGAAACAUGCUAUGCCUCUUAAAGACUCUGAUUAUGAUGGAAAAGAACAAGUAAGUAAGACAGGAAAGAAAGAAAGAGAGAGAAAGGAAGGAAGGAAGGAAAGAAGGAAGGAAGGAAGAAAGAAAGAAAGAAAGAAAAAGAAAAGAAAAUAAAAAAAGAAAAAAAAGAAAGGCUUUGCAUAUAUGGGGAGGUAUACUUCUCCAUUUCACCAUGAGAUCUUUUGGCAAAGGGCAUGAGCUUAGUCCCAUUACAAGUGGAGAACUCCACAGUGUGUGACACCAACUAACAGGAUAUAUGUGUAAUGUAAUGACAUAAUUUCUUCUGUUUUAGGCAUAUUAAUUUUAGGUUCCUCUAGCACAUCUAAGUGGACAUGAUGGCAAUUGAAUAUUCAGACAAAGAAAAACAUCAGAAAUGGACUUUAUGAACUUGGUGGUCACUAGAUGUUAAUAUAUAAUAAAAACAUGGAACUAGACAGGAUUGUCUAGUAGGAGUGAAAAGAAAGUUAUUGAUGGAACCCUGAGGAGCACCAAUGUUUAAUGUAGGAAGAUUAGCACACAGAUAAUCUGAAAAGGAAUGGUUAGUGGGUUAUUUAAAAUACAUGGAGAGAAUAGUGGCACUGAAACUAAAAUAGUGGAGACAGUUACUAGAGAGAGGGGUAUACAUUAACGAUCCAGUGAUUCUCAGAUUUUCAAGUCAGCCUUCGUGGAGAUGAGUGUGAAUGAGAUCUUCUCAUCUAACCCGGGAAGUUUAUUUUUAAAACUAAAUUGCUGAUUGAUGCUCAUGGACUCACUAGGGAUACAGUGGAAUGAUAUAAAUAAAACACAGGGUAUGGUUCCUGGCAUUUGCCUGGCACUUGGUAAUUGGUAGCCAUUACCCUGUUGAAAGCUAUGGAGCUUUGAGAAAUUACCAUCUACUUAAUACAAAAUUUCAUGUUAGACUAUUUUGCUUUGAACUUUAUCAAAAGCAUUUUAUUAUUGAAACUAAAAGAAGCAGAAAAAUGUAAUAUUAUGUGAUUUUUAUAGCAUGACCCCUGAAGUUAAUUAUGGUGAAAUUGUAAUAUAGUUGUUUUCAUUAAUUUGAUAUUAAAAAGGGAGAUUGAAAGAUUUGUUGCAUCCCUGUGAUAUCUCCUAUUUAAAAGGUGUCUAAUCCAAAACACUGUUAUCACUAUGACACUAUGAUAUUUGGGUUGAAGCAGUUCUUUGUUCCCUGCCUGUAUAAGUCAUCUUGUUUUAGAGUGAUGUAUUCAUAUUGUCAAAUCAGGAUAAAAGCUGGACAAACAUGUAUGUUUCAAAAUAUCUAGGUACUUUAGAUUAUGGAGAUGAACUAUGCAUUUACAGACUCAUUUUCAGCUUCUGAUAACCAAAGAGCUUGUAGCCUUUGUCCUUAACAAUUUCUUCCAUCCCUGCGUGGUUGAGAGUCCCAGUGUUCUUUCUGGCUGAAAGCAGAUACUGUAUUUUGCUUUGUUAACAGAACAUUGGUUAUCAAGUUCUCUGUCUCUAAUGAUUCUGUUUUAGGGAACUGUCAAUUAAUAAUCUCUGGAGGAAUCAUCAUAAAGAAUUUCUGUAAUGAGAUUAUAAUGCAAAGGUUUGUUUAGUCACAAUAUUUUUUAAAAUUUUAAUUAUGAUUUUCGGGCGAUGACCCCAAUCUUUCCAUCUUUUACAUUCAACUGCCUUUUAAAUGCUGGCUUCCUUCAAUUUCUCUUAUUAUGUUCAUCCUCUUUUUAAAGUUUUUGAGCAUAACUAAAACUACCCUACCUUUGAGAACCCUCUGUCUUCACCUAGUAGAAUAAAUGAAAUGUGGAUACAAAGGCUGAGCAUAUAAAUUACCUUUAAAAAAGAAAAUGCCUUCUACAUAAAGCUUUUUGAUUCCCUUUAGUUUUUUUUUAUUCUAGAGCUUGACGGCUAUUUUUCCUCUCUAGUCCAGUGACCUUGUUAUUAAAGCAUUAUUGUAAAGGUAAUUUAGCACACAUGCCUCAUAGUUAUUAACCGAGUUCUACCACAUUCAAAUACCAAAUAUUCCAGGCUGGUAAAAAUCACUAUGCAAAUAAUCCUUCCUUCCACUAGCAAAAUAUGUUGGGGGAGUGGAGAGGCCAGGGGCUUUUUUAGUAGUCCUGAGUGACAUUUAAGAAUUCUGCUAAAGGCCAGGCGCGUUGGCUCAUGCCUGUAAUCCCAGCACACUGGGAGGCCAAGAGGGGCAGAUCACGAGAUCAGGAGACUGAGACCAUCCUGGCUAAUAUGGUGAAACCCCGUCUCUAUUAAAAAUACAAAAAAUUAGCCAGGCGUGGCGGCGGGCUCCUGUAGUCCCAGUUACUCGGGAGGCUGAGGCAGGAGAACGGCAUGAACCUGGAAGGCG
rnacentral:lncRNA from 1 species